AUCCUACGGGGCGCAGCAGUGGGGGAUAUUGGACAAUGGGGGAAACCCUGAUCCAGCGAUGCCGCGUGAGGGAAAAAGGUUUUCGGAUUGUAAACCUCUGUGGAGGGGGACGAUAAUGACGGUACCCCUUUAGGAAGCCACGGCUAACUACGUGCCAGCAGCCGCGGUAAUACGUAGGUGGCGAGCGUUGUCCGGAAUUACUGGGUGUAAAGGGAGCGUAGACGGCAGCACAAGUCUGGAGUGAAAUCCCGGGGCUUAACCCCGGAACUGCUUUGGAAACUGUGCGGCUGGAGUGCAGGAGGGGG
rnacentral:rRNA from 1 species